rnacentral:sRNA from 1 species
GACAACUCCAGUCAAAAUGGUGCCAUAUCACUGAUCUUCUCCCUCAAAGAAGAAGUUGGUGCAUUGGCCAAAGUGUUGCGCUUAUUUGAGGAGAAUGAUAUAAACCUGACCCACAUUGAAUCUAGACCUUCUCGUUUAAAGAAAGAUGAGUACGAAUUUUUCACCCAUUUGGAUAAACGUAGCCUGCCUGCUCUGACAAACAUCAUCAAGAUCUUGAGGCACGACAUUGGUGCCACUGUCCAUGAGCUUUCACGAGAUAAGAAGAAAGACACAGAGAGAACAGAUGCUUUGUCCUAAAAUCACCACUUCUGACUUCUGACCACUGCUGUCACCAGGAGGCAGAGGGUAAUAGUUGGGCAUCAUCAGCCAGCCUUUGGCUCAUCAUUCUUGCCAAGAGCUUCCUGAAGAGCAUUACUUCUCCAGAAAGAAAGUAGAAGCUACUUAAAAGAGAAAAAUAAAACCCUCAAAAGUC